AAAGCCCAUUCUUAUCUUAGCAAAAACUGAUAUCACACGCAUCUUUUCUCAUCACAAUCAUCUUCUUCCUCUAAUGCAACUCACGAAUCUACAGUGUAUCCUCCCCUCCCCCACCAGGCUCCAUUUUAUACUCUUUAAUUAAAACCCUUUCAUUUACAAAGCCCCAUUCUCUUCUUUUAAGCUAAAAUCCCCAUUUCCCAAAGGUUAAAGCAAAACAAAUCUCCCCCCGACUUUUUCUUCUUUUCAUUCACUUUCUUUACUUACUGUAUCAAGUUUGAAUCUUUGUAAUCUUCAUUACUACUACUUUUUUGGUAAUAUAAAAAAAGGGAAUAUAGUAUAAUUUGUUGCUCUGUUUUUAGUGAAAAAAAAUAGAUACUCUGUUUUUAUAUAAUAACCCCAUUUCUAGAGAGAGAAAGAGUGGUUUGGGGAAGCUCUGCUGCUCUAUUGUUUAAUGGAUAAAAGCUGUAAUUCUUCUGGUGAGGGUGAUUCUACUGCUACUUCAGCAAGUAGUAGUAGCAGUGGUAAUAGAGAUAUGUAUUUGAAGCACCUAAACAAAAUCUCUCACAAGAUCUCGAAACCCAUUAGAAAACCUGCUUUUUUUGAAAACCAGAAUCCUCCGCAGGCGCAGGCGCAGACCCAACACGCUCCACCGCCUCUUCCUCCUCCUCCUCCUCCAGCUGGGCCGCAAAAUUUGCACCCUCAGCCGCAGCAACAGCCGCCGGUGUAUAAUAUUAACAAGAGUGAUUUUAGGGAUGUUGUUCAGAAGCUUACGGGCUCCCCUGCUCAUGAAAGGAUUUCGACUCCUCCGCCUAUUCAACAACCCAAGGCUGCAAGUUCACGGUUGCAGAGGAUUCGUCCUCCGCCGCUUGCUCAGAUUAGCAACCGCCCACCUCCGUUUGUGAAUGGUUCUAAUAACGCCGUUGCUGGUGGAGGGUUUGUUGGCGGUCAACGGCCUGUUCAGGCACAGCCGUUAUCUCCUCUCCCACCGUUUCCGGCGGUGCAUGCGUCGGCGGAAUCGCCGAUCUCCGCUUACAUGAGGUUUCUACAGAGCUCAAUCGCUUCUGCUUCGACUGAUUCCGAUUCCAAGCGAUUCUCUACUGGGCUAUCACCACUAGCUCCGCGGUGGAACAACUUCGGUGCGCCGCAGCAGCAGCCACCAUUUCCGCCUCCUCAGCCGCUUCCGCUGCCGCAUCAACAGAACAUUCCUCCGCCACCGACAAACUCCUCCUUUGUUUUACCACCGUUUCCUGCUUUUCCCUCAUCGCCACUUCCGUUUGGGUGUUUGCCGUCGCCAAGGUCGCCGUACGGUUUGCUAUCUCCCGGUCUUCUGCUUUCACCGUCCCGUCAACUAGGGUUUCAGCAGCUCCCUUUGUCGCCGACACUUCCAGUGGCAAGCCCGAAGUGGAAGGGUAUUUGAGGAAUUUCAUAGAAACAUUAAAAAGCGAAGUUAAGUAUGAAGAAUCCACAAUCCGUCGCAUAUCAAUUUCUCAAAAAUCUAUUUCAACUCGCCUCGCAUAUGCCCUGCCCUGCAUAUUUCAAACCCUCCCCGUCCCGCAAAGCCUUAUGAUGCAAAAAUAUCACUGCCGGCAGAACAUGAGAGGCAACGCAUAUGGAGCUCAAGCCAAGGAAAAUGGAUGAUGAUAAAGUAAGCUAAUUGAAGAAGUAUAUACAUCACUGAAGGAAAAAUUUACUGGCUAAUUGAUAAGAUAUCGGUUGAUUUAGUAUCAGAUUAGUAAUUACUGGAUGGUUACUUGAUGAUGUAUAUAUAAAUAUUGGCACUCUGUGUUAACUUGUAUAUUUUAUGACACCAAAAUCAGUAAGAGA